GUGGUAACCAGAGAGAUCGGGAUCGUGAAAGGGCUCUUGCCAGGACUGGCUCGAAGGCGAAAUCAAAAGACGAUGGGUUGACCCCUGAACAACGCCGUGAGAGGGAUGCGAAGGCGCUGCAAGAGAAGGCAGCGAAGAAAGCUUCACAGGCUGCUGCCGGAGGAGGGGACACUAAAGGUAAAAGCAGCAACAAGAAAUAACAGCAGAUUGAUUAUAGAGGGAAGAAAAGGGGGGGGGGGUUAGAUGCUUGGAUCAGAUUUGGUUUUUUCUCUAUCAGUGACUAAUUGGAAGAGAGUUGUAUGUGGGUGUGGAUGUUUCGUGGUUCUUUGUCUCAUCUGUGUUGUGAAGAUUAUGUCUUUAGUCUCAGAUGUUGGGAAUUCGUUCAUGUUUGGUUCAAGCAACUCUGUUGUCUAUUAAAUUCUUAAUUGGAAUCUGACCAAGAAUUCCUAUUAAGCUGUCUAUGAUAUGCCUUUGUUUCUAUUGAAUUUCUUUACAUUGUAAGCAAGUUUCAGAUGACCAGACCUGCGAUCCCCUUUUAUAUUUAAGUUCUUAAACAUCA